rnacentral:rRNA from 1 species
UACGUAGGGGGCGAGCGUUGUCCGGAUUUAUUGGGCGUAAAGAGCGUGUAGGCGGCCAGGUAGGUCUGCUGUGAAAACUCGAGGCUCAACCUCGAGACGUCGGCGGAAACCAUCUGGCUAGAGUCCGGAAGAGGAGAGUGGAAUUCCUGGUGUAGCGGUGAAAUGCGCAGAUAUCAGGAAGAACACCCGUGGCGAAGGCGGCUCUCUGGGACGGUACUGACGCUGAGACGCGAAAGCCAGGGGAGCGAAUGGG